GACGAACGCUGGCGGCGUGCUUAACACAUGCAAGUCGAACGGAAAGGCCCUGCUUUUGUGGGGUGCUCGAGUGGCGAACGGGUGAGUAACACGUGAGUAACCUGCCCUUGACUUUGGGAUAACUUCAGGAAACUGGGGCUAAUACCGGAUAGGAGCUCCUGCUGCAUGGUGGGGGUUGGAAAGUUUCGGCGGUUGGGGAUGGACUCGCGGCUUAUCAGCUUGUUGGUGGGGUAGUGGCUUACCAAGGCUUUGACGGGUAGCCGGCCUGAGAGGGCGACCGGCCACAUUGGGACUGAGAUACGGCCCAGACUCCUACGGGAGGCAGCAGUGGGGAAUAUUGCACAAUGGGCGGAAGCCUGAUGCAGCAACGCCGCGUGCGGGAUGACGGCCUUCGGGUUGUAAACCGCCUUCGCCUGUGACGAAGCGUGAGUGACGGUAAUGGGUAAAGAAGCACCGGCUAACUACGUG
rnacentral:rRNA from 1 species